rnacentral:rRNA from 1 species
GUGAGUUGAUCCUGGCUCAGAAUGAACGCUGGCGGCAUGCCUAACACAUGCAAGUCGAACGAGAUUUUCGGAUCUAGUGGCGCACGGGUGAGUAACGCGUGGGAACCUACCUUUUAGCACGGGACAACGUUUGGAAACGCUAGCUAAUACCGCAUACGCCCUAAGGGGGAAAGCGGGGGACCUUCGGGCCUCGUGCUAUUGGAUGAGCCUGCGUAAGAUUAGCUUGUUGGUGAGGUAAUGGCUCACCAAGGCGACGAUCUUUAGCUGGUCCGAGAGGAUGAUCAGCCACACCGGGACUGAGACACGGCCCGGACUCCUACGGGAGGCAGCAGUCGGGAAUAUUGCGCAAUGGGCGAAAGCCUGACGCAGCCAUGCCGCGUGUGUGAAGAAGGCCCUAGGGUUGUAAAGCACUUUCAAUUGGGAGGAAAAGCUAAUGGUUAAUAACCAUUAGCCCUGACGUUACCUUUAGAAGAAGCACCGGCUAACUCCGUGCCAGCAGCCGCGGUAAUACGGAGGGUGCAAGCG